ACCUGGCAUACAAUGUAGAAAACUGU
rnacentral:ncRNA from 2 species